GAAAACGCUCCCUAAAGCUAUCCAAUUUCAACAGUUAAAAUAAGUAAUACCUAUCUUAGUAAUACAUAUUAAAACUAUCAAAAAUAAUUAAGCGACCUUAUUACAUUUAAAAAACCCAAAACUUCAAACGUAAAUAAAAGGAUGUCCAGUUCACCAGAAGAAAACCAAACUUUCAGAACGGGUGGCCACUUCGAAUUCCCUCACAGCUUCAAGCCCACUAUAGUUAAGGAUUUCCUGCGUGGAUGAAAAUAAAAGGGGUGAGUUUAAGAAAACUCAGUGUGUAAAGAAAACCUAUUCAAAGCCCAAGUCAGCUCAAGCCUAUUGGGCCUAAGCCCAUUUAGGUAACAGUGGUACUGGACCAGAGCCCUUUUCAGAUUACAAUAAACUGGGCCUUAGCCCCUUAUUCAGAUAACAGUAUGGCCCAUAGGCCCAUUUCAAAAUACAUGUAACAUCAAUAACAUAUGCAAGCCCAUUUGGGGAGACUACUCAACCCACCAACCACUACACUCCACCCGUACCAGCCAUACACUCCAUGUGGGGAAUAGCUCAACCCACCUAACCCAACACUCCACAGUUGCAGCCUUGCUGCUCAGUUAGCAGUAAAUUGAGGCAAAGCCUCCAGUACGUGGACAAGCCACUUUCAGUACUUCCUCCGUCAAUAUCUCAAUCCCAUGCAUCAGAUAAUAACAUGGCAUGCAGUAAAUAACAACAGCCAAACAUGCAUUUAGGUCAAUUUAACCCUAGGGGUAUUUCGGUAAUUUAUCUACUAGGGGUAAAACUGUAAAUUUUCCAUUUUUAAAGGUAUUUUAGUAAUUUAUCUAUUUUAGAGUUUUUCAUGCAUAUUCCUACUUUUCACGUACUAACAGAAUCACGUACCGAGUGUUCUUACCGAAUUGGGCCUGUUGGCCCAUCAUUUCAAUUUUGGCCCAUUAAGCCCAGAAAUAUCGAGGGCACAGAAAUAAUACAUUUCACAGUCCAAAUUUUGUAGCUUACCAAAAACAUUAAUCGAUUUACCUCACGAGCAUUUGCAUACUCGUAAAUUUACAAAAUACUAGUUUUCAGCAUUUUGAUUUGUCAACUUUUGUCGAUCCAGACUAAGAAAGAGGGUGUUAGUUACAUACUUGUUUGCGACGAUAUGCUGAUGAGAUCUACACACGAACCGCCUACAAUUGGAUUACUAACACGUUAAUCUAACUAUUCAAAUACAAACUACGUAUUAACCCCUUACAAUAUUCGGCCAACCACACCUACAGAUCAUAGUAAGCUUAUAAGAAAUCAAUAAGCAACUCAUUAACAAAUUUUUGUCAAUGUUAACCACAUAAUCAUAAUUUCACUGCAAGCUGUCUUCUUGAGAAAUAGUCACUAAAUCAUUUAUAACUGGUGCUACAAAACUCCAAAUCAAGUGCCGUUAAUUUUCCCUGAAAAUACUCAUAUAUCUUAUAUCCAUAAAAUUUUCAGAAUUUUUGGUUUGAUCAAUCAAUACCAGAUAUUUCUCAAAGUUUCGCAUGUUUCACUGUUUGACUAAUCUGACCACUCUUCAUUACGAAUCAAAUUUUUCAUUGUACAGAAUUCAAAAUAUGUUCUCGUUUAUUUCAUUUGAAACUAGAUGCAAUAAGCUUUAAUUACAUAAUUUAUUCAGCUUCUAAUUCAUCUCCCACAAUUUAUGGUGAUUUUCCAAAGUCACGUUACUGCUACUGUCCCAAGCAGAUUUAUUACCAAAUUCACUCUUUCACACAUAACAUGUAUAUCACCAAUCAAUCAUCACAUAUCUAUGAUUUUACUUAAGUAUAAUCUCAAUUUCAUCAUUUUAAAGCACAUGUUAGCCGAUAUUUCCCCUUAGCAUCUAAGGCACAUACAUGCUCAUUUGUUUGGCUCAACUUCACCUAUCUUUCAUUUUUUAUCAAAAGAACAUGAAACAACAACCAUUUCCUUCGUUUUAAUUCAUGACUAAAUGCUCACAAUACAACUAAAAACUAAAAUAUGCUUCAAGAGUUAAGGUAGAAUCAAGAACUCAUGAACCUCAAAAUAAAAAUAAACUACCAUGAACUUACCUUCAAUUUUUCUUCCCCAAGUGACCGAACAUUCAAGAGCUUUCUCUUCUCCUUUCUCUUCUCCAACUUUAGGCUAUAAUGAACAAAGAUGGACAAAACUUUAUUCUUUUCACCCCUUUUUCUUUUAAUAAAAUUUAAUAUUUCAUUUAUUUAAUUCUUUAAUACAAAAGAUAUGAAAUUUCCAUCAUGAAAUAUUUAUUUAACCCAUUAUCAUGAAACAUUUACCUAACCCAUUAUCAUGGAACAUUUACCUAACCCAUUAUCAAUUUGUACCAUGAAUUAUAGAUAUCAAGUGUUCAUAUUGUCUACAACAACAUGAUGGCUGACUACUUCAUAUAAAAUGAGAGGUUUGUCAUGCAAAUCCUUCUAUUUUACACUAUUAUUUAUUUGGCCACUUCAAUUUAGCCUAUAGCAUUUUCAAACAUUUUUACAUAGGUCCUAUUUCAUAAUUUCACUCACAAAUGACAAAAUUAAAACAUAAAAUUUUGUCAACAUUCACAGAAUUCCCGAAAAUUGAAACGUUAAAGCAAACGAAAGAAAAAAUCUUUUCAAAAUCUUAAAGAUAGGAUCUAUUCGAGAAUUGAAGGACGGAGCUCCAGGUUACUAUCACAAGAAAGAAAGGAGGUCUUCAUUAAAUCAAUGCUUCAGGCAAUACCAACCUACGCUAUGUCAUUUUCUCUUUUACUGAAAUCAUUAUGUGAGGAGUUAGAAAAUAUUUUUUGCUAAAUUUUGGUGGCAAAAUGGCUAUGGAAAAAAAAAUACAUUGGUGUCAGUGGAAGCAUGUGUCAUCCUAAAGAAGAGGGAGGGAUAGGUUUCAGAAGUAUAAAUCAAUUUAAUAUAUCAUUAUUAGCAAAGCAAGAUGGAGGAUUUUAAAUACCCCAAACUCUUUAGUUGCGUAAGUACUUAAAGCGAAAUAAUUUCCGAAUGAGGAUUUUUUGAAUUCGCGUUUGGGAAACAAUAGUUCUUAUAUAUGGAAAAGUAUAUGGGCGACAAAGGGCAUCUUGGCAGAAGGACUUUGCUGGAAGGUGGGUAAGGGCACGAAUAUUUCAGUUAUUAAUGAUGCUUGGAUUCCAGAUGCAAGAAAUUUCAGAUUAUCGUCGUUUGCUCAUAAUAUGUGAAAUUAUAAAGUUGCUGAGCUAAUUGAUAAUAAUGACAGAAAAUGGAAGCGGGAGUUGAUUGUCAAUACCUUUCCGGAGGAAGAAGCUGAAAAGAUCUUUCGUAUUCCUUUGGAGAAAGAACCUCAUGACGAUUUUUUGGUCUAGAGCGGUGAACCUUCAGGAGAAUACUCGGUUCGAACACCUAUAAACUAUUACAAAUUUCUGAAGAUCCUAGAGCUUAUGCUUUGCAAACCGACUACAGGAAGUUUUACAAAAAAACUCUAGCUCCUAAAUCUACCUUCAAAAAUUAAGAUUAGCGUCUGGAAAAUAUCAUGGAAUUAUUUGCCUACACGGGUUAACGUGCAGCAAAGGAGGCUAACAAAUAUUGUAAUUUGUCCUCGGUGUGGAAAAUGGGCAGAAACUAUGGAUCACCUUUUUCGCGAAUGUCCUGUUUUAGUGUAAGUUUGGACAGAAUUAUCAAUCCCGAAUUUUUUACAGGAAUCUAAUUUGGAGUUUCUACAGUGGCUCACCUGGGUUUUUACUCAGAACACUCCCUCUCAAUGUAGAAUAUUUUUUUGUGCGCUAUGGGCCAUUUAGGGAGAAAGGAACGCUAGAAUGCAUGAGAAGGUAAGCAGAACUGGGAAAGAAAUAGCUAGCUUUGUCAAUAGUUAUAUUACAAAACUAAAUGGGGUUGAAUAAAGAACCCCCAAAAUUUCGCAGGAAGUUAGAAAAUGGAAUUACCCACCUGGUCAGUAAAUAAAAUCAACUUUGAUGGAGCAUACGAUGGGCAACAUUUUCAAUUGGUUUCGGAGAUUGUGGCUAGAAAUAGCGAAGGGAAUGUUCUUCUAUCUUGUUCAGAAAUUCAUCAAGAAGUGGCCUCCGCCUUCACUCUGAAGCACUCGCUUGUCGCGAAGUAGCCCAAAUGGGAAUAUACAUGCGAUGGCCAAAGAUUGUUAUAGAAGGCGACUCAUUAUCAAUAAUGAAAAAGUGCAAGGCAGAAAAACAAGAUAAAUUGUAGGUAGGAGCAUAUAUACAUGAUAUUCAACAAAUAACAUCUAGAUCUAGAAACUUAGUGUUUGAAUAUAUUCCAAGAUCAGCAAAUGGUUUAGCACAUAUACUAGCAACUGAAUCGUUAAAAAAGGAGGAGGUGUACUUGUUAGAAAGCAUCCCUGGAUAUGCUAAAAACCAGAAAGAAUUUGAUAGAGUGCGAGAACCAGAUUGAAAACGGAUAGAGAAAAAAAGGAAGGAAGGAAAGUUUCAAAUGAGCAGAUCAAUGGUUUUGGUGAUAAAAGCUUUCGUUGGAAAACUUUAACCGUCUUUAAGAAGAAAUGGGAGAUUGAUAGACAAGACGGGCAUCAGUGUUCUUUGAUUGGGCAAAGUUGCGGUGAUAAUUAUGAGCUUCUAGACUAUUCUUAUUUUAUUUUCUUUUUAGAAAUUCUUUUUAAUUCGGGCCAUUUUUUAAUGUUGGGCCUUCUCUUCUGUUUUAGUUCUAUU
rnacentral:lncRNA from 1 species